rnacentral:rRNA from 1 species
GACAGAGGGGGCAAGCGUUAUUCGGAUUCACUGGGCGUAAAGGGUGCGCAGGCGGCCGGGUGUGUCAGGUGUGAAAGCCCGAGGCUCAACCUCGGAAUUGCGCCUGAAACUGCUCGGCUAGAGCAUUGGAGAGGGUAGCGGAAUUCACGGUGUAGCAGUGAAAUGCGUAGAGAUGUGGAGGAACACCGAUGGCGAAGGCAGCCCCCUGGGCCAAUACUGACGCUCAUGCACGAAAGCGUGGGGAGCAAAC